rnacentral:rRNA from 1 species
CGCUGGCGGCAGGCCUAACACAUGCAAGUCGAGCGGUAGAGAGAAGCUUGCUUCUCUUGAGAGCGGCGGACGGGUGAGUAAUGCCUAGGAAUCUGCCUGGUAGUGGGGGAUAACGCUCGGAAACGGACGCUAAUACCGCAUACGUCCUACGGGAGAAAGCAGGGGACCUUCGGGCCUUGCGCUAUCAGAUGAGCCUAGGUCGGAUUAGCUAGUUGGUGAGGUAAUGGCUCACCAAGGCGACGAUCCGUAACUGGUCUGAGAGGAUGAUCAGUCACACUGGAACUGAGACACGGUCCAGACUCCUACGGGAGGCAGCAGUGGGGAAUAUUGGACAAUGGGCGAAAGCCUGAUCCAGCCAUGCCGCGUGUGUGAAGAAGGUCUUCGGAUUGUAAAGCACUUUAAGUUGGGAGGAAGGGCAUUAACCUAAUACGUUGGUGUCUUGACGUUACCGACAGAAUAAGCACCGGCUAACUCUGUGCCAGCAGCCGCGGUAAUACAGAGGGUGCAAGCGUUAAUCGGAAUUACUGGGCGUAAAGCGCGCGUAGGUGGUUCGUUAAGUUGGAUGUGAAAUCCCCGGGCUCAACCUGGGAACUGCAUUCAAAACUGUCGAGCUAGAGUAUGGUAGAGGGUGGUGGAAUUUCCUGUGUAGCGGUGAAAUGCGUAGAUAUAGGAAGGAACACCAGUGGCGAAGGCGACCACCUGGACUGAUACUGACACUGAGGUGCGAAAGCGUGGGGAGCAAACAGGAUUAGAUACCCUGGUAGUCCACGCCGUAAACGAUGUCAACUAGCCGUUGGGAGCCUUGAGCUCUUAGUGGCGCAGCUAACGCAUUAAGUUGACCGCCUGGGGAGUACGGCCGCAAGGUUAAAACUCAAAUGAAUUGACGGGGGCCCGCAC